rnacentral:rRNA from 1 species
GACGAACGCUGGCGGCGUGCUUAACACAUGCAAGUCGAACGGAAAGGCCCUGCUUUUGUGGGGUGCUCGAGUGGCGAACGGGUGAGUAACACGUGAGUAACCUGCCCCUGUCUUUGGGAUAACUUCAGGAAACUGGGGCUAUUACCGGAUAGGAGCUCCUGCUGCAUGGUGGGGGUUGGAAAGAUCCGGCGGUUGGGGCUGGUCUGGCGGCUUAUGCGCUUGUUGGUGGGGUAGGGACGUACCAGGGCUGCGACGGGUAGGCGGCCUGGGAGGGUGACCGGCGACCUGAGGCCUGAGGGAGGGCCCAGAAGCGUACGGGAGGCAGCAGUGGGGAAUAUUGCAGAGUGAGGGGGAGCCAGUUGUAGCAACGCCGCGUGCGGGAUGACGUGCUACUAGUUGUGAACCGAUGUCUCCUGUGACGAGGCGUGAGUGACGGUAAUGGGUAAAGAAGCACCGGCUAACUACGUG